UCCAGCGAGUCCAAGUGGAAGAAGAGAGGAAGGCUAGCCUGGAUUUAAAUUGUUUGAAGUUUCAGGCUAGCCUUCCUCUCUUCUUCCACCUGGAAGAGGGAA